AGAGUUUGAUCCUGGCUCAGGACGAACGCUGGCGGCGUGCCUAAUGCAUGCAAGUCGCACGCGCGGAGCUUGCUCCGUGAGUGGCGCACGGCUGAGGAUCACGUGGGAACAUGCCUCCUUGUGGGGGACAACAGCGCGAAAGCGCUGCUAAUCCCGCAUACGCUCGGGCAACCGAGGAAAGCUUUCAAACGCGCAGGGAGAGUGGCCCGCGGCCCAUCAGGUAGUCGGUGGGGUAAUGGCCUACCGAGCCGGUGACGGGUAGCUGGUCUGUGAGGACAGACAGCCAGACUGGGACUGAGACACGGCCCAGACUCCUACGGGAGGCAGCAGCAAGGAAUUUUCGUCAAUGGGCGCAAGCCUGAACGAGCAACGCCGCGUGGAGGAUGACGGCCUUCGGGUUGUAAACUCCUUUUGCGGGGGACGAUGAUGACGGUACCCCGCGAAUAAGGCUCGGCUAACUCUGUGCCAGCAGCCGCGGUAAUACAGAGGAGCCAAGCGUUGUCCGGAUUGACUGGGCGUAAAGCGCACGCAGGCGGUCGCGCGCGUGGGGUGUGAAAUCUGGCCGCUUAACGGCCAGGCGCCAUCCCAUACGGCGCGACUGGAGGGCUGCAGAGGUCGAUGGAAUUGCCGGUGUAGUGGUGAAAUGCGUAGAGAUCGGCAGGAACACCCAGGGGGAAACCAGUCGACUGGGCAGCACCUGACGCUGAGGUGCGAGAGCGUGGGGAGCGAACCGGAUUAGAUACCCGGGUAGUCCACGCCGUAAACGAUGGCCACUCGGCCUUUGGGGGCGGAAUCUCCGUCCGUGGGGGCCUUAGCUAACGCGGGAAGUGGCCCGCCUGGGAACUACGAGCGCAAGCUUAAAACUCAAAUGAAUUGACGG
rnacentral:rRNA from 1 species